GACGAAGGUGGCUAGCGUUGCUCGGAUUUACUGGGCAUAAAGCGCGCGUAGGUGGUCGUGUAAGCGGGGGAUGAAAGCCCAUGGCUCACCCAUGGAACUGUCCCCCGGACUGCACGGCUCGAGGAAGGAAGGGGAGAAUGGAAUUCCCGGUGUAGCGGUGAAAUGCGUAGAUAUCGGGAGGAACGCCGGUGGCGAAAGCGGUCUUCUGGACGGUGACUGACGCUGAGGCGCGAAAGCGUGGGGAGCAAACGGG
rnacentral:rRNA from 1 species